ACCAGACUCCUACGGGAGGCAGCAGUGGGGGAUAUUGCACAAUGGGGGGAACCCUGAUGCAGCGACGCCGCGUGGGUGAAGAAGCGCCUCGGCGCGUAAAGCCCUGUCAGCAGGGAAGAAAAUGACGGUACCUGAAGAAGAAGCCCCGGCUAACUACGUGCCAGCAGCCGCGGUAAUACGUAGGGGGCAAGCGUUAUCCGGAUUCACUGGGUGUAAAGGGAGCGUAGACGGCGACGCAAGUCUGGAGUGAAAGCCCGGGGCCCAACCCCGGGACUGCUCUGGAAACUGCGUCGCUGGAGUACGGGAGGGGCAGGCGGAAUUCCUGGUGUAGCGGUGAAAUGCGUAGAUAUCUGGAGGAACAUCAGUGGCGAAGGCGACUAUCUGGCACAUAACUGACGCUGAGGAGCGAAAGCGUGGGUAGCAAACAGGAUUAGAUACCCUCGUA
rnacentral:rRNA from 1 species